rnacentral:rRNA from 1 species
GUACCCACGUUCGGAUUGCAGUCUGCAACUCGAGUGCAUGAAGCUGGAAUCGCUAGUAAUCGCGGAUCAGAAUGCCGCGGUGAAUACGUUCCCGGGUCUUGUACACACCGCCCGUCACACCAUGGGAGUCGAUAACGCCCGAAGUCAGUGACCCAACCCUAUAGGAGGGAGCUGCCGAAGGCGGGAUUGAUAACUGGGGUGAAGUCGUAACAAGGUACC